AACGAACGCUGGCGGCAUGCCUAACACAUGCAAGUCGAACGAGACCUUCGGGUUUAGUGGCGCACGGGUGCGUAACGCGUGGGAACCUGCCCUUAGGUUCGGAAUAACUCCCCGAAAGGGGUGCUAAUACCGGAUCAUGUCUUCGGACCAAAGAUUUAUCGCCUUUGGAUGGGCUCGCGUUGGAUUAGCUAGUUGGUAGGGUAAAAGCCUACCAAGGCUACGAUGCAUAGCUGGGUUGAGAGGAUGAUCAGCCACACUGGGACUGAGACACGGCCCAGACUCCUACGGGAGGGAGCAGUGGGGAAUAUUGGACAGUGGGCGAAAGCCUGAUCCAGCAAUGCCGCGUGAGUGAUGAAGGCCUUAGGGUUGUAAAGCUCUUUUACCCGGGAUGAUAAUGACAGUACCGGGAGAAUAAGCUCCGGCUAACUCCGUG
rnacentral:rRNA from 1 species